AGUGAACGCUGGCGGCAGGCCUAAUACAUGCAAGUCGAACGGCAGCACAGUGGAGCUUGCUCCAUGGGUGGCGAGUGGCGGACGGGUGAGGAAUACAUGGGAAUCUGCCCAGUCGUGGGGGAUAACGUAGGGAAACUUACGCUAAUACCGCAUGCGCCCUUCGGGGGAAAGCCGGGGACCUUCGGGCCUGGCGCGAUUGGAUGAGCCCAUGUUCGAUUAGCUAGUUGGCGGGGUAAAGGCCCACCAAGGCGACGAUCGAUAGCUGGUCUGAGAGGAUGAUCAGCCACACUGGAACUGAGACACGGCCCAGACUCCUACGGGAGGCAGCAGUAGGGAAUAUUGGACAAUGGGCGCAAGCCUGAUCCAGCCAUGCCGCGUGAGUGAAGAAGGCCCUCGGGUUGUAAAGCUCUUUUGUCCGGGAAGAAAAGCAUCGGGCUAAUACCUCGGUGUUCUGACGGUACCGGAAGAAUAAGCACCGGCUAACUUCGUG
rnacentral:rRNA from 1 species